CUUCGCGCGGAAAAUGUAACGGGGCUCAAGCACGGCACCGAAGCCACGGGCUUCACGCUUCAUUGCGUGCAGCGGUAGGAGAGCAUUCCAAGGGCUGCGAAGGUCGACCGGCGAGGACGGCUGGAGCGCUUGGAAGAGAGUAUGCCGGCAUUAGUAACGAUAAAACGGGUGAAAAACCCGUUCGCCGUAAAUC
rnacentral:rRNA from 1 species